rnacentral:lncRNA from 1 species
GAGAGCAAGAAAGUGAGAGAGACUGCAGAGGGGUUGAGGAAAAAUCUGGAAUAGAAAGGGAAGAGCUAGAGAGGCUUCGGGAAAAAGAGGGUUUCAGGAACGAAGGAGAAAAGGAAGAGGAAGAGGAAAAAAGGAAAGGAGAAAAGAAAGAAAGGAGGAGGGGGAAAUCUGGGGAAGAUCAGAGGGGAAAAAUAGGAAGAAAAACAAGAGGCAAAAGAAAGAAAAGCGAGAGGAAAUCAGCGAAGGAAGGAAAAAAAAAAUUUCGGCUGGAAAGCUUCGAUUAGGCUGGUCAACCAGCUGCCUUCCAGAUCAAUUUCCGACUUGAUUUUUUAGGGAGUUUUUUUUCUCCACCAUAUCUGUAUACCCAUGACAAAUUUUUGUUCAGGAAUCAUUCAGCAAAAACGUCUCCAACCCUCUCAAAUCGUGGCCCAAAGUGCUGACCUUCUUGUCACUGCUGAAUUUUCUGCAACAAGGGUUGACUUCCAGAUUCUAGCUUUGAUUUUACUUUCCUCGAACUUCCUGCUGUUGUUUGACAUACUCACACACCAAAGGUAACUCUUAAUCCCUCCUUUGCUUGUUGCAAUCCACAAAAGGAAAAAUCUCUAACUCAUCAAAAGAGAACUUUUUUUAGAUUAUGCUUUCAUGAGCUUAUGGUGUGGGUUCUAUGGUUUUGUUGGGUCUGAUGUAUCUUGUGUGACUAAAAAGGAUAAGUUUUGGAAAUUAAUGUAAAUGCUUGUCCUUGAUUAUCUUUGCAAGCCUUGCAGUUCAUAAGUAAAGUUAUGUCUCGGGGAUUUAUCUGGAGUCCAUGAAUGAAAGUCGUCUGCUUCCUUUUGUGAAUGAAUCUGGAGUGGGGUAGCUUUGAGCCAUGGAAACUUGUGUUUUCUUAUAUCAUUUGCCCUCGUUGUAAAAAGGAGGAGAACAAUGCAUGAGAAUGGUUUGAUUAGAUUUUUUUCUAACUGCGUAUAUUUGCUACUAUUCGUUCCCUUCCUUUUGUUUCUUCUUUGGUCAUAGAAUUUGUUUCCUCCGACAAAGGUUGAGGAGCCCCGUGACGUUUGAUAUUUUUUGCUAGGAAGAUGAGAA